rnacentral:lncRNA from 1 species
CCAUAACCAGUUUGGACUAUAUCGAUACCGGUACCACUCCAUAUCGGUCCAGUUUGGGUGUAACGGUAGAGGAUUUAGGUAAGGGGUAUGGGGACUGGGAGGGUACUGAAAAGAGUGGUUGUAGAACUUGUCCAUUUGGUACCUUUAAGGUGCCUAUUAUUAAGUUUUGUAUUUAUUUUUAUUAUACUUGUGUUGCUAUUUGUUGUUAUUUUAAUGAUUUGUUCUUAAAAAGGACUCCUACACUGGUAAAAAAAAGUGUAAUAGAUUGAUUAAGGGUAACACAAAGGAGGCGGUCCUUGUUUUAAAAUAAAUCGUAACCAUUCCGGGUUUAUCUAUUGCAUACAUGAAACGUAUAAUUCUGUUUUUUAAGGUUUUCCUAGAACAACUAUUAGAAAUAAUAUUUUGUGAUGAUGAAGAAAAUGAAGACUUGCUAAAAUAUUAGAUUAAAGUGGAGAGAAGAAACUUUAGCCUUCUAGAAAUAAUUCAAAAAGAUAUGAUGCCUAUAGAGAAAUACUAUCUACUGGAUACAACAGGGUCGUAGAAGAACAAAUGCUAUCAAUUUCAAGUGAAGAACUAGCAAAAGUUAUUGAAAAAUUAAAAAUUGUUCAAAAG